AAAAUUUGGGUGUUAAUGCAUGUUAGAGAUUUGGUAUAAUGAACCAAAAUCCUAAAAUAUACCACACACUAAAAGAAAAAAGAUCAAAGGAUAGACCUAUCUCAUCCAUACUUGUAUUGGUUCAUCUAACACAAGGUUAUUGAUGAACAAAUUAGCCUUAGGAUGUUGAGAUUUCAUUGGUCAAUGAAACGGAUGGGGAAGAACGGGAUUGAAG
rnacentral:lncRNA from 1 species